UGAACGCUGGCGGCAGGCCUUACACAUGCAAGUCGCGCGGUAACAGGCAGCAGCUUGCUGCUUCGCUGACGGGUGGCGGACGGGUGAGUAAUGUCUGGGAAGCUGCCUGAUGGAGGGGGAUAACUACUGGAAACGGUAGCUAAUACCGCAUAAUGUCGCAAGACCAAAGAGGGGGACCUUCGGGCCUCUUGCCAUCGGAUGUGCCCAGAUGGGAUUAGCUUGUUGGUGGGGUAACGGCUCACCAAGGCGACGAUCCCUAGCUGGUCUGAGAGGAUGACCAGCCACACUGGGACUGAGACACGGUCCAGACUCCUACGGGAGGCAGCAGUGGGGAAUAUUGCACAAUGGGCGCAAGCCUGAUGCAGCCAUGCCGCGUGUAUGAAGAAGGCCUUCGGGUUGUAAAGUACUUUCAGCGGGGAGGAAGGGAGUAAAGUUAAUACCUUUGCUCAUUGACGUUACCCGCAGAAGAAGCACCGGCUAACUCCGUG
rnacentral:rRNA from 1 species